rnacentral:rRNA from 1 species
CUAAAUACUCCCUAGUGACCGAUAGUGAACCAGUACCGUGAGGGAAAGGUGAAAAGCACCCCGGAAGGGGAGUGAAACAGUUCCUGAAACCGUGUGCCUACAAGUAGUUAGAGCCCGUUAAUGGGUGAUAGCGUGCCUUUUGUAGAAUGAACCGGCGAGUUACGAUUUGUUGCAAGGUUAAGCGGAAAAAGCGGAGCCGUAGCGAAAGCGAGUCUGAAUAGGGCGCAUAAGUAACAGGUCGUAGACCCGAAACCAGGUGAUCUACCCAUGUCCAGGAUGAAGGUAAGGUAAUACUUACUGGAGGUCCGAACCCACGCACGUUGAAAAGUGCGGGGAUGAGGUGUGGGUAGCGGAGAAAUUCCAAUCGAACUUGGAGAUAGCUGGUUCUCUCCGAAAUAGCUUUAGGGCUAGCCUCGAGGUAAAGAGUCAUGGAGGUAGAGCACUGUUUGGACUAGGGGCCCUUCUCGGGUUACCGAAUUCAGAUAAACUCCGAAUGCCAUGUACUUAUACUCGGGAGUCAGACUGCGAGUGAUAAGAUCCGUAGUCGAAAGGGAAACAGCCCAGACCACCAGUUAAGGUCCCCAAAUAUAUGUUAAGUGGAAAAGGAUGUGGGGUUGCUUAGACAACCAGGAUGUUGGCUUAGAAGCAGCCACCAUUGAAAGAGUGCGUAAUAGCUCACUGGUCGAGUGACCCCGCGCCGAAAAUGUACCGGGGCUAAACAUAUUACCGAAACUGUGGAUGAACCUCUUUAGAGGUUCGUGGUAGGAGAGCGUUCUAAGGGCGGUGAAGUCAGACCGGAAGGACUGGUGGAGCGCUUAGAAGUGAGAAUGCCGGUAUGAGUAGCGAAAGAAGGGUGAGAAUCCCUUCCACCGAAUAUCUAAGGUUUCCUGAGGAAGGCUCGUCCGCUCAGGGUUAGUCGGGACCUAAGCCGAGGCCGAUAGGCGUAGGCGAUGGACAACAGGUAGAGAUUCCUGUACCAGUGCUAAUUGUUUAACCGAUGGGGUGACACAGAAGGAUAGGGAAUCGCACGAAUGGAAAUGUGCGUCCAAGCAGUGAGUGUGAGAAGUAGGCAAAUCCGCUUCUCGCGAAGCAUGAGCUGUGAUGGGGAAGGAAAUUAAGUACGGAAGUUCCUGAUUUCACGCUGUCAAGAAAAGCCUCUAGGAAGAGUAGUACUGCCCGUACCGCAAACCGACACAGGUAGAUGAGGAGAGAAUCCUAAGGUGAGCGAGAGAACUCUCGUUAAGGAACUCGGCAAAAUGACCCCGUAACUUCGGGAGAAGGGGUGCUCUAUUAGGGUGCAAGCCCGAGAGAGCCGCAGUGAAUAGGCCCAGGCGACUGUUUAGCAAAAACACAGGUCUCUGCAAAACCGUAAGGUGACGUAUAGGGGCUGACGCCUGCCCGGUGCUGGAAGGUUAAGAGGAGUGCUUAGCUUCGGCGAAGGUACGAAUUGAAGCCCCAGUAAACGGCGGCCGUAACUAUAACGGUCCUAAGGUAGCGAAAUUCCUUGUCGGGUAAGUUCCGACCCGCACGAAAGGCGCAACGAUCUGGGCACUGUCUCAACGAGAGACUCGGUGAAAUUAUAGUACCUGUGAAGAUGCAGGUUACCCGCGACAGGACGGAAAGACCCCGUGGAGCUUUACUGCAACCUGAUAUGGAAUGUUUGUACCGCUUGUACAGGAUAGGUAGGAGCCGAAGAGACGUGUGCGCUAGCAUACGAGGAGGCAAUGGUGGGAUACUACCCUGGCUGUAUGACCAUUCUAACCCGCCACGCUUAGCGCGUGGGGAGACAGUGUCAGGUGGGCAGUUUGACUGGGGCGGUCGCCUCCUAAAGAGUAACGGAGGCGCCCAAAGGUUCCCUCAGAAUGGAUGGAAAUCAUUCGCAGAGUGUAAAGGCACAAGGGAGCUUGACUGCGAGACUGACAAGUCGAGCAGGGACGAAAGUCGGGCUUAGUGAUCCGGUGGUUCCGCAUGGAAGGGCCAUCGCUCAACGGAUAAAAGCUACCCCGGGGAUAACAGGCUUAUCUCCCCCAAGAGUCCACAUCGACGGGGAGGUUUGGCACCUCGAUGUCGGCUCGUCGCAUCCUGGGGCUGUAGUCGGUCCCAAGGGUUGGGCUGUUCGCCCAUUAAAGCGGCACGCGAGCUGGGUUCAGAACGUCGUGAGACAGUUCGGUCCCUAUCCGUCGCGGGCGCAGGAAAUUUGAGAGGAGCUGUCCUUAGUACGAGAGGACCGGGAUGGACACACCGCUGGUGUACCAGUUGUUCCGCCAGGAGCAUCGCUGGGUAGCUAUGUGUGGCAGGGAUAAACGCUGAAAGCAUCUAAGCGUGAAGCCCCCCUCAAGAUGAGAUUUCCCAUUUCUUCGGAAAGUAAGAUCCCUGAAAGAUGAUCAGGUAGAUAGGUUUGGAGUGGAAGUGUAGCGAUACAUGGAGCGGACAAAUACUAAUCGAUCGAGGACUUAACCAAAA